GGGGGUAACCGUUUUCGUUUUUGAGAUACGAGCCGUUGAAAUUAACUACAUGAUACACCAAAAUUACAAAGGAUAUAUAGGGAAAAUCAUCAAAAUUAGCAGAUAUUUUUACAUUAUCAAGAUUUUCUAUUUUGUUGGACAAUGGAUUUUUUUCUAAAAUUGAUAUACGAUUUAAAAAUGAAAGACGAAUCCAUCGGUGCAAAGAAAGUCCUUAGCAACCGUAUUAGUUUUUACGCUACUCUCUGUUGAAGUUUAGUUUUUUGACCGGAACAUUAAAAUUAUCUGGCGACGUCAUUGUCUGCAGUAACGUCGCCACAACUUCUACGUCGAAACUCUAUUAUACCGUACAAUGUCG
rnacentral:lncRNA from 1 species